rnacentral:tRNA from 3 species
GCCGAAGUGGCGGAACUGGCAGACGCGACGGUCUCAAAAUCCGUUGAGGUAACACUCUUGAGGGUUCGAGUCCCUCCUUCGGCACCA